AGCGCAGACGGUUAUUUAAGCAAGAUGUGAAAGCCCCGGGCUCAACCUGGGAACUGCGUUUUGAACUGGGUAACUAGAGUGUGUCAGAGGGGGGUAGAAUUCCACGUGUAGCAGUGAAAUGCGUAGAGAUGUGGAGGAAUACCGGUGGCGAAGGCAGCCCCCUGGGAUAACACUGACGUUCAUGCUCGAAAGCAUGGGUAGCAAACA
rnacentral:rRNA from 1 species